ACACAAAACAAAGUCUGAAGCUAUUUCUGAUUGGCCAAGCCGAUCAGUCUAACCAAAGACAACUCUCAACAACGGAUAUCUUGGCUCCUACAACGAUGAAGAACGCAGCGAAAUGCGAUACGUAGUGUGAAUUGCAGAAUUCCGUGAACCAUCGAAUUUUUGAACGCAUAUUGCGCUCGAGGCCUCGGCCAAGAGCACGCCUGCCUCAGGGUCAUGA
rnacentral:rRNA from 1 species